ensembl:lncRNA
GUUUGAUUCCUGAGACUUCCCUUGGAACAGCUGCUGCAAGUUUGCUCCCAGAAGCAGCCCUCCAGGCCACCCAGGAAUGAGUUGACACCAGCGACAUCUGUUGUCUUCUGCAGCUCAAUUGAGUCAUGAAGGACCUCUUUGGGUCCCCUGGCAGCCACUGGACUUCAGCCUUGUGUGUUCUUCUGUCCUCUACAGCUGAGAGGGUGACUGACCCACUCAGGUGAAAGAGCUGUCUGCAGCCACUGAGAGUCCUGUUGAGGAAACAGAACAGUGAGGGAGUGCAUGACAUUCCUUGGCGCGUGGGGAAGGGGUGGGGGGAUGCAGAGCCUGCUGGGAUUGUGCCAGAGUGGUGCACAGUCGUGCAAAUCAAUCUUGUCCAUCUGGUCCCUUCCACCUACAAGAAAUGGUUUCUGGAAGCAGCAUGCCCAGGUUAUGGCUGCUCACAACCCAGAAAUGCUUCUGGAAUGGAGGAAGAGGGGCUCCAUGCAGUUGAGAUGCGCCAAAGCCAGUUUUUCUCUCGAAAGAAGAAGCUCUGCCAAAUCCACAUGGCAAACAAGGUGUUCCCAGGUGGUCACUGAUGAUGUACUGUGCGAGGGAUGAAGAAAAUUUUGUUGUUUUUAAGCAUACAGUUGCAGCUCACUCUAGGCAGGAAUGGAAUCUGGCCCCAGGUUUCAGAAGUGCAGCAGGAACAAGUCCAGGAAGGCCUGCUGAGCACAGGGCUUGAUGAGUUCACAGUGUAGGCUGGGCCACAGCAACAUAAAGAUUUGUGAUAAUAGGUACACUGGGUUAUUUUGACAGAUAGGAAGUAGUACAUGGCACCAAGGUGAAGGGAAGGGCAUUUUUGUCCUUUUAGUAUUGUGCAACACUGGUAUCUUACUCAACUCUCAGUCUAAAAUGUGAUGAUACAUCAAGAAUAUGAAACCAAACUCAAUGAUGAAGUCCCAGUGGGUAUUUUUUCUCUAUCCAUAGGGAGCCUGAUUUCCCAAAUCAUCCUUGCAGAAAAGGCUCAUUUUGUAGUUCGCUAUUCUAACUGGUCACCAAAGGCAGUUAAGAGACUGGUCUGAGUUGUAGAGAUGGGGUCAGGCUGAAUCAGAAUUUGACAAUUUGAAAUUUGGAAUAAUUUUAAAUAGGUCAACUCUUACAAGACUCCUUCCUUACCACAUCAGCUCUCAUGUUUGUACUGCUACAGCUAUUUAGAUAUGUAGGACAAGGCAUGAGGAGGUGAACGCACAUGCAGAGAAAUCAGGGGAUAUUAAUCACAUCAUUUGUGACAGUAAGUGAUCUGAGCUAAAAUAAGGGCUGCUUUUCUGUUUGGGUUCAGGAUUUGAGUAACCUUAACUGAAAUCAUAAUGUUUACCUAACGUCUCUCCUUUCCCCUUCCCCCUCACUCCUUCAACUCCUACCUUUGGAUUUCCACAUGAUAGUGUAGCCCAGUGAAUAUUCUCAAGCCUAAUUUUCAGCCAGGUAAGUUCAGCUGGGAAAUGGAAAGGUGCUUACCCCUGCUGCCAGGCUUUUUUGGGGACUUGCCCAACCAUCUGCAAUUUUUUGGCAGAUCUUCUGCUGACAUGCAAGAAGACAGCCUGGCGAGAAAUCCAACUAUGUGUUUACCUUUGAACAGAUGGUGGGACCUGACUUCUGAUGAGCUCCUGUUGGCUCUAGUAGGUUCUGGCCUGCUCUUAGUGCUGACUCUCACAUUAGUUGCCCCCAGUGCAGGAUGAGGGUGCUUAAUGCUCAAGAUGGAGGAGGAAAAAGAAGACUUGCAGUAGUUGUGAUCUUUGGUUCUAAGCCAAGGAAGUUUGGCUAUCUCUGGAAGAGGGGAAGUUUGAAUAAAUUAUCCAAGUCAUUGCA